GGUCGUCAGCUUCUUAGAGGGACUAUCGGUGUUUAACCGAUGGAAGUUUGAGGCAAUAACAGGUCUGUGAUGCCCUUAGAUGUUCUGGGCCGUACGCGCGCUACACUGAUGAAGUCAACGAGUUCAUAUCCUUUAUCGAAAGAUAUGGGUAAUCUUUUGAAACUUCAUCGUGAUGGGGAUAGAGCAUUGCAAUUAUUGCUCUUCAACGAGGAAUCCCUAGUAAGCACAAGUCAACAGCUUGUGUUGAUUACGUCCCUGCCCUUUGUACACACCGCCCGUCGCUACUACCGAUUGAAUGGCUUAGUGAGACCCUCGGAUUGGUAUUCAGAAGCUUUAACCGGCAUCUGUUUGCUGAGAAGUUGGUCAAACUUGGUCAUUUAGAGGAAGUAAAGUCGUACAGGUUCCUAGUGAACCUGCGAAGGAUCUUAUG
rnacentral:rRNA from 1 species